rnacentral:rRNA from 1 species
UACGAAGGGAGCGAGCGUUGUUCGGAAUCACUGGGCUUAAAGCGUGCGUAGGCGGGUUAGUAAGUCAGAAGUGAAAUCCCGGGGCUUAACCCCGGAACUGCUUUUGAGACUGCUGAUCUGGAAUUCGGUAGAGGCUAGUGGAACUCCUAGUGUAGAGGUGAAAUUCGCAGAUAUUAGGAAGAACACCAGUGGCGAAGGCGACUAGCUGGGCCGACAUUGACGCUGAGGCACGAAAGCGUGGGUAGCAAACAGG